AAACCAUGAAGUACAUAUUAUUCCUCGAUGUAUCAGCAGUUGCUGUCGCCUUGGUGUGGAGCGAAUCAUGACACUUAACACAACACUGCACUGCAUCAACCAAGAGUGCACCAACACGCAUGCAUCAUGUAUUCAGGUUACUUCCGGUCAAGUCUUUUGUUCGUAUGAAGGCCACUGGCCCAUAUACAGCCCUGGUUGAUGCCGAGGGAUGCCAAGGCCAUGAUACCGGCACCUGCAGGCAUGAAAGCUGCGACGCCCUCUCGACCUUGACUUGUGUGAGGGGAACCUGCACGUGCCUGGUGUCCAGCUGUGUAACCCA